rnacentral:rRNA from 1 species
UGCCCNCUGAUUUUAAAAUUAAAGGGCUGCAGUAUUUUGACUGUACAAAGGUAGCAUAAUCAUUAGUCAUUUAAUUGAUGACUUGUAUGAAAGAUUGGAUGAAAUAUUAACUGUCUUAGAUAUAAAUUAUAAAAUUUAAUUUUUUAGUUAAAAAGCUAAAAUAAUUUAAAAAGACGAGAAGACCCUAUAGAGUUUAAUUAAGUUAUAAAUUUAUUAAUUUAUAUAAAUUUUAAUAUGGAGAUUUAUAAUUUAAUUUUGUUGGGGUGAUAAAAAAAUUAAAUAAACUUUUUUUUAAAUUUAUACAUAAAUAAGUGUUUAUUUGAUCCAAUUUUAUUGAUUAAAAGAUAAAAUUACCUUAGGGAUAACAGCGUAAUUUUUUUUUUUAGUUCAUAUAAAAAGAAAAGUUUGCGACCUCGAUGUUGGAUUAAGAUAAAAUUUAAAUGUAAAAGUUUAAAGUUUUGA